GACGAACGCUGGCGGCGUGCUUAACACAUGCAAGUCGAACGGAAAGGCCUGCUUUCCCUUGUGGAUUGCGGGUACUCGAGUGGCGAACGGGUGAGUAACACGUGAGUGAUCUGCCCCCAACUUGGGUAUAAGCCUGGGAAACGGGGUCUAAUUCCCGAUAGGACUGCAGGGUGGUGCCUGUGGUGGAAAACGAUUUUCUAGUGGUUGGGGAUGAGCUCGCGGCCUAUCAGCUUGUUGGUGGGGUAAUGGCCUACCAAGGCGGCGACGGGUAGCCGGCCUGAGAGGGUGGACGGCCACAUUGGGACUGAGAUACGGCCCAGACUCCUACGGGAGGCAGCAGUGGGGAAUAUUGCACAAUGGGCGGAAGCCUGAUGCAGCGACGCCGCGUGGGGGAUGACGGCCUUCGGGUUGUAAACUCCUUUCGACCGCGAGGAAGCCACCUGGUUGGAAGGGUGGUGACGGUAGUGGUAGAAGAAGCACCGGCUAACUACGUG
rnacentral:rRNA from 1 species